rfam:Ictidomys tridecemlineatus contig029752, whole genome shotgun sequence.
GGGGUUGUGGCUCAGUGGUAGAGUGCUUGCCUAGCAUGCAUGACGCACUGGGUUCAAGCCUCAGCAUCACUU